rnacentral:rRNA from 1 species
AUGAUUAUUUGUUGUUCGUUCCAGCUAAAUCCGACGCAAGAAGAAACUCGCAACGCUGACAAUGGAGACGGAGACAGGCUUAGCAAGCUGCCCAAUGACCUUCUGCUCAACAUUCUGGAGAGGGUGGACACGCUCGACGCUAUAAGGGCCUGCGUCCUAUCCAGGCAAAUGCUCAAGCUCCCCGCUAUGCUCUCACAGCUCUUCCUAAGUGCUGGUUCCAUUCCAGGCCGCCAUGAUAAAGCUCGUGUUUUCAGUCUUCGUGAAUUCCUCCAAAUCAACCGAGCGGUGGCUCAUGUGACUGAUAACAUCUUGAGCACAAGGUGCCCGGAUAUCACCAUCACCAAACUCAAAAUUAGAUUUGUCUUGACGCAGCACGACUCUCCCACCAUUUGCAGAUCUGUUGCCCGUGCCAUGUCAGCCCAAAAAGUUGCCGCGGCUGAAUUUCAGAUCACAACAGAGAAGGCUCGUAAGAUCUGCUCUUUUGCAGAUUUUCUCCGCUUUGGUAAGCAGUUCAAUGAUCUUAUCGGUGCUUGUCCAGAUGCAUUUGUUGGCCUUAGGCACCUGUGGCUGCGCAAUAUGAGGUUUGGUGAACACGACAUCCCCAGCAUCCUCAGCACUUGCAAGCUUUUGGAGUCCUUCUGUUUAACCGAUUGCGACUCAGCGAUCUAUUUUGUGCUGCAAGUAGAACAUGCUCAACUUGUUGAGUUCGUGGUCGACCGGGGGAAAUUUGAGAGAAUUGAACUGACAUAUCUACCAAAACUUCAAAGGAACUGCUAUAAUAGUUGGUACUCUUAUGAAGAUUUCCUGUAUUUUCUUUUUGUACCACAGCUUUCGAAGCUCACACUUAUGAAAUCUGCCGGCCGUUUGCAAAAGACCCUUGAGUUAAGUCAGCUCCUUGCUAAUGUUCCUUCCGUAAGUGAUCUGCAUCUGGAUUUUGCAAGUGAAAAGAUUUGGGUUCUACCAAAAUCCCCGAAGCUGCUUACUCCUGUGCUCAGCAAAUUACAGCGUGUGAAUCUGGGUCAUCUUUCUGAAGGAAGUGAUUUAGCUUGGACAAUGUUUAUUCUUGAAGCUGCAUCGUCCCUAAAAGAGCUGUGCAUUAGAGUAUGGGAUCAUUGGUGCAAAAAGGUGACAGACAAAGAGUUACGGAAGAAAUAUGGUUUGUGCGAAAAGGCAGAGGUGAAGUGGAAGCCAUAUGCCCCUGAUUUCAAGCACAAGAAUUUGGCUAAGCUCACUGUCGGUGUCAAAACCGGCAGAUCUCGGUAG